UACGUAGGGUGCAAGCGUUAAUCGGAAUUACUGGGCGUAAAGCGUGCGCAGGCGGUUUUGUAAGUCUGUCGUGAAAUCCCCGGGCUCAACCUGGGAAUUGCGAUGGAGACUGCAAGGCUAGAAUCUGGCAGAGGGGGGUAGAAUUCCACGUGUAGCAGUGAAAUGCGUAGAGAUGUGGAGGAACACCGAUGGCGAAGGCAGCCCCCUGGGUCAAGAUUGACGCUCAUGCACGAAAGCGUGGG
rnacentral:rRNA from 1 species